rnacentral:rRNA from 1 species
AUUGAACGCUAGCGGGAGGCUUUACACAUGCAAGUCGAACGAGUGGCGGACGGGUGAGUAAUAUAUCGGAACGUGCCCAGUAGCGGGGGAUAACUACUGGAAACAGUGGCUAAUACCGCAUACUAUAGGAGCGGCCGAUAUGGGAUUAGGUAGUUGGUGGGGUAAAGGCUCACCAAGGCAACGAUCCGUAGCUGGUUUGAGAGGACGACCAGCCACACUGGGACUGAGACACGGCCCAGACUCCUACGGGAGGCAGCAGUGGGGAAUAUUGGACAAUGGGGGCAACCCUGACGCAGCCAUCCCGCGUGUAUGAGAAGGCCUUCGGGUUGUAAAGUACUUUUGGCAGAGAAGCGGUAUCUGCAGAACAAGCACCGGCUAACUACGUGCCAGCAGCCGCGGUAAUAC